rnacentral:rRNA from 1 species
UACGUAGGGGGCGAGCGUUGUCCGGAGUACUGGCGUAAAGCGCACGCAGGCGGUCUGCUAAGUUUGGAGUGACAGUUGGUGGCUUAACUGCCAAAGUGCUUCGAAAACUGACAGACUUGAGGGCUUACAGAGGGACACGGAAUUCCGGGUGGAGUGGUGAAAUGCGUAGAGAUCCGGAGGAACACCAAAGGCGAAGGCAGGUGUCCUGGGUGGUCGCUGACGCCUGGAGAGGCGAAAGCCAGGGGAGCGAACGGGA